AAUAUGGCCUACGCUAACCACAUUUGAGAAUGAGAAACACUUAGAAUUACCGACAUGGAAAUACAAAAUGCUGUUUGAAUUUAAAAAAGAAAAGGAAAUCAGAUAAAUGAUGCUAUUUUUUAAUGUGGGGGGAAGGAAGGGCAGAAAAGUUGUAAAAUAUCAUGUAAAGAUAAUUUUAAAGUAGUGAUAAAUAUGUGCAAGAGAAAAGCCAGCACUUUGAAGGAAAGAGUUAGAGACUUGUCUUCAAGAUUUUCUACUUCAUUUUCCCCUAGAUCACCAAAUGAAAAUGCCAAGAAAAAAAAGGGGGGGGAGAUUGGGUUCAAGGAGCUUAAAGACUCGGGGUACCGGGCGGGACCACCUGACAGAAAACCGAACACAAAACACUCAUUUUACAUGAGCUUUAUUAUAAAUUUAAAGAAGUACUGGAAAUAAGCUUUUUAAUAGAUUAUAAUUGAGCAUCUCUAAGUUAGAAAUUAUUUUUAAUUCAAAAUAAUGACAUCAAUACAAUACACUCUUGGUGUUGGCCAAUAUAAAGUUUACUCUUUAAAACUAGUAUCUUACAUGCUGAGCCGUUAGUCAC